rnacentral:rRNA from 1 species
GACGAACGCUGGCGGCGUGCUUAACACAUGCAAGUCGAACGGAAAGGCCCUGCUUCUGUGGGGUGCUCGAGUGGCGAACGGGUGAGUAACACGUGAGUAACCUGCCCUUGACUUUGGGAUAACUUCAGGAAACUGGGGCUAAUACCGGAUAGGAGCUCCUGCUGCAUGGUGGGGGUUGGAAAGUUUCGGCGGUUGGGGAUGGACUCGCGGCUCCUCAGCUUGUUGGUGGGGUAGUGGCUUACCAAGGCUUUGACGGGUAGCCGGCCUGAGAGGGGGACCGGCCACAUUGGGACUGAGAUACGGCCCAGACUCCUACGGGAGGCAGCAGUGGGGAAUAUUGCACGAUGGGCGGAAGCCUGAUGCGGCAACGCCGCGUGCGGGAUGACGGCCUUCGGGUUGUAAACCGCUUUCGCCUGUGACGAAGCGUGAGUGACGGUAAUGGGUAAAGAAGCACCGGCUAACUACGUG